GCAUUGAUAAAUUGCCAAAAAAACACAUUCAAUUGCCCAAAAAAUAUGAAUGAAAAAUCCAAGUUGUCAUAAUAAUUGUUGUAAAGUGC